UGUGCAAUUAAGCUUGGAGGUGAUCAACAACCCAAGAAAGCUCCCAAUCUUAGAAGCCUAUCAUUAUUAAGAAGAAUUUGAGGAUAAUGUCUAGAUGAUUUUUAUACAAUAUGCUUAUUAUAGAGAAAAUGAAAAUUACAGGAUUAAUCAUCUAGACAUUAUCCUCAAUUUUUUUUAAUGAUGAUAGGCUUCCAAGAUGGAGGGUUAAUGAUGAUAUUGGAGCAUUUUUCCUUUGUACUAUCAUCUAUAUUGAUGUGAAUGAUUUUACAGGUUGAUAUGAUGCAUACUUCAUAUGGGGGAGCUAGUGAGGAAUCCUAAGUAGUCAAGGAGUUGUUAUUCCCUUUGUCAUAGUUGUACAAUAAAGUUUAUAUUUAUAAAGAGAAGUUAGUUAAGUUAUUUCCGCUGCAUUAGUUCAAGUUCAGUUAGUAGUUAGUAUUAAAGCCUUUAACGUUAUCACGUGGCGGUAAUACUCUCAAGUUUCUCAAGGAGUUUUAUAUUAAAAAGGGUUUUCCAAAAGAGAGAAAUUUGGGGGUGUUACAGCCAAACAUUGAAGCGACUUGUCAAAGGACUUGAUACCAUGUCAAAGGACCAACUCAACCAAAAGCUUAAGCUGAUGGUUGAGGCCCCAUGAAUAGAUUUAUAUUCUAUCACUACUGCAGCAGGCUUAUGCAGAUUUGUUCACGACUAUGGUGAGCAGGCACAUAGACGCAACAUGUCUUUUCUCGCCCAGCUAGCUCUCCAUGUGAGUCCACCUUCAAUUGGAUCCCUCCUAGUGAAAAUUUUGUUAAACUUAAUAAGGAGUAGGUGUUAUUGCUGGUUGAAGCUGGAAGGACGAGGUUGUUGUGUGUCUUUUAUUACUUUGUUAUUCGUUGUUCAAUUAUUGUUUGAUAUUACUUGCUAGGUUGAUAGUCAAUAGAACUUACAUAACCUAUUGGAAUGCGUCGUCGAUGGCUAAAUUGGCAUCAAAUGCGCUGGGAAUGGUAAGGAACCUGAAGACUUACAAGUGGAGAAGAGCACAUGCAGGGAGGGAGUUUAGCUUGUGGUUUUGUUCUCUUUCCAUUAAUCAUGUUAAGGAUAGGGAGUAUUGUCACUCAUCUAAUGGCUAGAGUUACUACUCUUUCAGACAAUGAGUAUAGUGUAUUACAAUAGAUAAAUUUCUUUAUCCUUGGCAGAACUUUGACCAAA